AUCGCACAAUCGAUACGCGUCACACAAUGCCUGCGACUGGCAACGAUAUUUUCGGUAUUAUCACCGAAAAAGUGUGAGAAAAAUUACAAAAGCGCCUCUUGCAACCUUCGAAAUGCCGGUGAAGUUGCGCAAAACUGCUCCGGUUUUACAUCACAAUACCCAACAGAUGAAGAAAAAACCAAGACGAGGAACAACAGGAACAAGGGAUUAGGCACAAAUGCGUAAAUCUUUUGGCUAACAAGCUGGACUGUCGAGCAAUUGCAACUAAGUAGGUGAAGAAAAAGUGUCCAAUAUUUGCAUAAUGCCCGGAAUUUACGAGAGGGCUAAAUAACCGUAACUGGAAGACAUUUGGGUGAAUAAUUUAACAUUCCACGUCAGAAAAAAUGCUGGUUAGCAAUCAUUCGGCGCGAAAAGUGUAAAAUUUCAAUAAACCCGAACAUUUCGACCGAAUCACGUCUAGUCGCGACGGAUGACAAUAAAAGUAAGUGCCACUUCACUGACGCUCAAACAUCUACAAGCUAUAAAUAUAUAAAUAUACUCCUCACUUACACUGA